rnacentral:rRNA from 1 species
AUUGAACGCUAGCGGGAUGCCUUACACAUGCAAGUCGAACGAGUGGCGAACGGGUGAGUAAUGUAUCGGAACGUGCCCAGUAGCGGGGGAUAACUACGCGAAACGUAGCUAAUACCGCAUACUAUUGGAGCGGCCGAUAUCGGUUUAGCUAGUUGGUGGGGUAACGGCUCACCAGGGCGACGAUCCGUAGCGGGUUUGAGAGGACGACCGGCCACGCUGGGACUGGAACACGGCCCAGACUCCUACGGGAGGCAGCAGUGGGGAAUUUUGGACAAUGGGGGAAUCCCUGAUCCGGACAGCCCGCGUGUGCGAUGAAGGCCUUCGGGGUGUAAAGCACUUUAGGCAGGAAAGCGGUACCUGCAGAAUAAGCACCGGCUAACUACGUGCCAGCAGCCGCGGUAAUUC